AUGAAAACUAUUUUAAUAGUUCUCAAACUCUAAACCCCUUUGUUUAAACUUACCAUGUUGCUUCCACUGGACAGGCUAAGCUUGUAUUACCAAGUGAAGCCCUCUAGAUUAUGCCCUUGGUAUUUUCUAGGGAGCUGCCGGUGGAUAGAACCUAUAAAUUCUGUUUGUAAAACCUAUGUCUGAUUUAAAUAUUGUAAUAUAA
rnacentral:misc_RNA from 1 species